rnacentral:rRNA from 1 species
AGGGUGUAAACGCUGCAGACUUGGUGUUGGAAGCCCUUUGGGGGGCGAUUCAGUGCCGGAGAGAAGUUGUUAAGUCUGCUACUUGGGGAGUACGUCCGCAAGGAUGAAACUUAAAGGAAUUGGCGGGGGAGCACCGCAACGGGAGGAGCGUGCGGUUUAAUUGGAUUCAACACCGUAAAACUCACCAGGGAAGACUGUUACAUGAAGGCCGAGAUGAAGACUCUGCUAGAUUUUUCAGAGAGGUGGUGCAUGGCGUCAGUGACU